UCACAUGACCCGCAUCAGCUGACCCGUCACGGUGGAGCUCAGCGCUGGUGCUUCGCGCUCCCCGCCCUGCUGCGCCCCGGAGCGCAGGACCCUGCGGAGGGGUAAGAAAACCCCCAGGCUUUCUUUCCUUUGUCGCUGGUUCGCGCAGUCACCUGCACCCUACCCCCCGCUCCUCGUUCAUCCCAGUCUUCCCGGCCUGGCACCCCGGAAGCCACUGCGAGGAGGGCCGUGGCCAGGCUCAGCCUUGCGCUGCCCCCAGGCGGCCAGGACCAAAUGGCCCAGGGGAGCAGAAGGCGGAAAGUGGUUCUUACAGCAGGGUCCGAGGGCUGGUCCCCUUCCUCAGGACCUGACAUGGAGGAGCUGCUCCGGAGCGUGGAGAGAGAUCUGAACAUUGAUGCCCGGCAGCUGGCCCUGGCGCCGGGGGGCACUCAUGUAGUGGCCCUAGUGUCCACGCGUUGGCUGGCUAGUCUCCGGGAGCGCCGACUGGGACCCUGUCCCCGGGCUGAGGGCCUGGGUGAAGCAGAAGUCAGGACUUUACUGCAACGUUCGGUACAGAGGCUGCCCCCAGGCUGGACUCGAGUGGAGGUGCAUGGGCUGCGGAAACGGAGACUGUCCUACCCGCUGGGUGGAGGCGUGCCCUUUGAGGAGGGGUCCUGUAGCCCUGAAACUCUCACUCGGUUCAUGCAGGAGGUGGCUGCCCAGAAUUACCGGAACCUGUGGCGCCAUGCAUACCACACUUAUGGACAGCCUUACAGCCACAGCACUGCCCCCUCAGCUCUACCUGCCCUAGACUCUAUACGACAAGCUCUCCAGAGGGUGUAUGGAUGCACCUUCUUGCCAGUGGGUGAAUCCAUCCCAUGUCUAUCAAAUGUCAGGGAUGGGCCCUGCCCCUCUCGGGGCAGCCCUGCCUGCCCCAGCCUUUUGCGAGCUGAGGCUUUGCUGGAGUCGCCCGAGAUGCUCUAUGUGGUACACCCUUAUGUGCAAUUCUCCCUGCAUGAUGUAGUUACCUUCAGCCCUGCCAAGCUGACCAACAGCCAAGCCAAGGUGCUCUUUCUUCUCUUCCGUGUUCUGAGGGCCAUGGAUGCCUGUCACCGCCAGGGGCUGGCCUGUGGGGCUCUGUCUUUGCACCACAUUGCUGUAGACGAGAAGCUAUGCAGUGAGCUCCGGCUGGACCUGAGCGCUUACGAGAUGCCUUCCGAGGAUGAAAACCAGGAGGGCUCUGAAGAGAAAAAUGGGACAGGCAUUAAGUCUGAAAAAGAGGGGGAAGGGAGAACUGAGUGUCCCACCUGCCAGAAAGAACUUCGGGGCCUUGUGCUAGACUGGGUCCAUGGCCGAAUCAGCAACUUCCACUACCUCAUGCAGCUGAAUCGGUUGGCAGGUCGACGGCAGGGGGAUCCCAACUAUCACCCAGUGCUGCCCUGGGUGGUGGACUUUACCACACCUUAUGGGCGCUUCCGAGACCUUCGUAAAUCCAAGUUCCGACUCAACAAGGGAGAUAAGCAAUUGGACUUCACCUAUGAGAUGACCCGGCAGGCAUUUGUUGCAGGUGGUGCAGGAAGUGGGGAGCCACCCCAUGUUCCUCACCACAUCUCUGACGUGCUCUCUGACAUCACGUACUAUGUAUACAAGGCCCGUCGCACACCGCGCUCGGUGCUCUGUGGACAUGUCCGAGCGCAGUGGGAACCCCACGAGUAUCCUGCCACCAUGGAGCGGAUGCAGACCUGGACACCGGAUGAGUGCAUACCCGAGUUCUACACGGACCCCUCUAUCUUUUGCUCUAUCCACCCUGACAUGCCCGACCUGGAUGUGCCGGCCUGGUGCAGUUCUAACCAGGAAUUUGUGGCUGCCCAUCGAGCCCUCCUGGAGAGCUGGGAGGUGUCCCAAGACCUGCAUCACUGGAUUGAUCUUACCUUUGGCUACAAACUCCAGGGCAAAGAAGCUGUGAAGGAGAAGAAUGUGUGUCUGCACCUGGUGGACGCUCACACCCAUCUGACCAGCUAUGGCGUGGUACAGCUAUUUGAUCAGCCACACCCCCAACGCCUGGCUGGAUCUCCUGCCCUGGCCCCUGAACCUCCACUCAUCCCCCGGCUGUUGGUCCAGCCUAUUCGGGAGGCCACAGGCCAGGAGGACAUUUCAGGACAACUUAUAAAUGGUGCGGGCAGGCUUGUCGUAGAGGCCACUCCAUGUGAGACUGGCUGGACUAGAGAUAGGCCUGGGACAGGAGAAGAUGAUUUAGAACAGGCUACAGAAGCUCUGGAUUCCAUCUCCCUCCCCGGGAAAGCAGGUGACCAGCCAGGCUCUUCCUCCAGUCAAGCAUCACCUGGCCUGUUGUCUUUUUCUGCACCCUCGGGGUCUCGACCAGGCCGUAGGAGCAAAGCUGCCGGGUUGGACCCUGGGGAGGGUGAAGAGGGCAAGAUUGUCCUUCCAGAGGGCUUCAGUCCCAUACAGGCCUUGGAAGAGCUGGAGAAAGUGGGUAACUUCCUGGCCAAAGGCCUAGGGAGCCAGUUGGAGGAGCCUGAAAAGCCUCACGCCCAGCCACCUGUGCACCUGCAGAGCCUCUUCCAUCGAGACAUGCAGGUCCUGGGUGUCCUGUUGGCUGAGAUGGUGUUUGCCACCAGGGUCCGGAUACUGCAGCCUGAUGCACCUUUGUGGGUACGCUUUGAGGCUGUUCGGGGUCUCUGCAUACGCCACUCCAAGGACAUCCCCGUGUCUCUGCAGCCUGUGCUAGACACACUCCUACAGCUGAGCGGACCCAAAAGUCCCAUGGUGUCGAAGAAGGGCAAGCUAGACCCACUGUUUGAGUAUAGGCCGGUUUCCCAGGGAUUACCCCCACCCAGCCCAGCCCAGCUCCUCAGCCCCUUCAGCUCCGUGGUCCCCUUCCCUCCAUACUUCCCAGCACUGCACAAGUUCAUUCUUUUAUAUCAGGCCCGGCGUGUGGAGGAUGAGGUCCAGGGUCGGGAGCUGGCGUUUGCUCUGUGGCAGCAGCUGGGUGCGGUGUUAAAUGACAUCACUCCCGAGGGCUUAGAGAUCCUCCUGCCUUUCGUGCUGUCGCUCAUGUCUGAGGAGCACACGGCUGUGUACACAGCCUGGUACCUAUUUGAACCCGUUGCCAAGGCCCUGGGCCCCAAAAAUGCCAACAAGUACCUCCUGAAGCCUCUCAUCGGUGCCUAUGAGAGCCCCUGCCGCCUGCAUGGCCGCUUCUACCUGUACACCGACUGUUUUGUGGCCCAGUUGGUGGUGCGGCUGGGCUUGCAGGCCUUCCUCACCCACCUGCUGCCCCAUGUCCUCCAGGUACUGGCUGGGGUGGAGGCUUCCCAGGAGGAGGGCAAAGGCCUGGUCGGGACCACUGAGGAUGAGGAAAGUGAGCUCCCGGUGUCCGGGCCUGGCUCCUGUGCCUUUGGGGAAGAGAUUCAGAUGGAUGGGCAGCCGGCUGCUUCCUCAGGACUGGGGCUCCCAGACUACAGGUCGGGCGUCAGCUUCCAUGACCAGGCCGACCUGCCGGACACGGAGGACUUCCAAGCUGGACUCUACGUGGCUGAAUCUCCACAGCCCCAGGAGGCUGAGGCCGUGAGCCUGGGCCAGCUGAGUGAUAAGAGCAGUACCAGCGAAGCCUCCCAGGGCGAGGAGAGGGGUGGGGAUGAUGGCGGUGCCCCUGCGGACAAGAACAGCGUCAAGUCAGGGGACAGCAGCCAGGACUUGAAGCAGAGCGAAGGCUCUGAGGAAGAGGAGGAGGAGGAAGGCUGUGUGGUGUUGGAGGAGGACCAGGAGGAUGAAGUCACGGGAACAUCCGAGCUCACUCUGUCUGACACGAUGCUGUCCAUGGAGACGGUGGUGGCUCCUGGUGAUGGGAGAGACAGAGAAGAGGAAGAGGAGCCGCUGACAGAGCAGACAGAAGGCAAAGAACAAAAGAUCCUCCUUGAUACAGCCUGCAAGAUGGUCCGCUGGCUGUCUGCCAAGCUUGGCCCCACAGUAGCCUCUCGCCAUGUGGCCCGGAACCUGCUGCGCCUGCUGACAUCUUGUUAUGUUGGUAAGGGCCCACUCGACAGCAGUUCACCGUCAGCAGUGAUGACACCCCUCCACUGAAUGCCGGCAACAUCUACCAGAAGAGGCCAGUCCUAGGUGACAUCGUGUCGGGGCCUGUGCUCAGCUGCCUCCUCCACAUUGCCUACCUGUAUGGAGAACCCGUUCUCACCUACCAGUACCUGCCCUACAUCAGCUACCUGGUAGCCCCAGGGAGCAACUCAAACCCCAGCCGACUGAACAGCCGCAAGGAGGCCGGGCUGCUGGCAGCGGUGACACUGACGCAGAAAAUCAUCGUAUACCUCUCUGACACGACCCUCAUGGACAUUCUGCCCCGCAUUAGCCACGAGGUCUUGCUGCCUGUGCUUGGCUUCCUCACCUCCUUCGUCACAGGGUUCCCCAGUGGGGCCCAGGCCCGGACUGUCCUAUGCGUGAAAACCAUCAGUCUCAUCGCCCUCAUCUGCUUGCGCAUCGGGCAGGAGAUGGUCCAGCAGCACCUGAGUGAGCCAGUGGCCACCUUCUUCCAAGUCUUCUCUCAUCUGCAUGAGCUUCGGCAGCAGGAUCUGCCACUGGAUCCUAAGGGCUGUACUGAGGGCCAGCUGCCAGAGGCGACCUUCUCUGAUGGGCAGCGACGACCAGUGGACCCCACCCUGCUGGAAGAGCUGCAGAAGGUGUUCACCCUGGAAAUGGCGUACACAAUCUACGUACCUUUCUCCUGCCUGUUGGGUAUUGCCCAUCACGUUCCUUUGCACAGAGUUGGUGACUACAUCUCUUCCCUGGGGUGGGCCCCGAUGCUUUCACCUCCAGAGUCAGCAAUGGAAUCUUUUUAUUUUUAUUUUGACAUGGGGUCUCAUUUAGCCCAGGCUGACCUUUAACUCCAGCUCCUUCCAGCUUCCACCGUCUCCUGUUGGCAUUGUAGUCAUGUGGCAUUGCUCAGGCUUCUUCAUGUUCUUAUUUUUAAAUGACCUGUGUGUGUGUGUGAUAUCUGUGUGAGUGUGGAGGUGACAGAAUAACAGUUGGGGGGUCAGCAGAUGCCUUGCCUGAUGAGCAUCUCUCUAGAUCCAGUUUUUGGUUUUGUGGGCUUUUAUGUGUGUGUUUGUUUGUCUGUUUUUGUAGACAGGGUCUCUCUGUGUAGCCUGGCCAUCCUGGAACUCAUUCAGUAGACCAAGCUGGCCUUGAGCUCACAGAGAUUCACCUGCCUCUGCCUCCCAGUGCUGGGAUUAAAGGCGUGUACCACUCCUGCCUGGCUUUGUUUUUGUUAACCACCAUCCUCCUGCCUCAGCAUCUGCCUCCCCUGUGCUGGGAUUACAGGUGUGUGCUAUCACACCCAGCUAACAGUGGAUUUAAACGUAGGAAUUUUAGGAUCAGAGUGACCAGAUUUGGUCCUAGGGCCCAAUUUCCACAGUGAUUAUCUAUCUUAGUUAGGAUCUCUGUUGAAAAUCAUGGUGGAACAUCAUUACCAAAUGCAACUUGGGGAGGAAAAGGUUUAUUUUGUCUGACAACUCUCAGGUCACCAAGGGAAGUCAGGGCAGGAACUCGAGGCAGAAGCUGAAGCAAAAGCCAUGGAAGAACUCUGGCUUGUUCCUCAUGGCUUGCUCAGUCUGGUGUACCCCCUCCCCACCCACCUCCCCACAAUGGUUUCUCUGCUUAUGCCUGGCUGUCCUAGAACUCACUCUGUAGACUAGGCUGGCCUCAAACUCAAGAGAUCCCCCUGCCUCUGCAUCUCAAGUGCUAAGAUUAAAGGCGGGUGCCAUCACCCCUGCCCCAGGGGUGGCACUACCCACUGUAAAUUGGUCCCUUCCCAUAUCAGUUGUUAAAUAAGAAAACUCCUCCAUAGGCCAAUCUGGUGGGGGAAUUUUCUCAGUUGAGGGUUUCUCUUCUCAAAUGACUGUAGCUGAUGCCAAAUUGAUAAAACAAAUCUCAAACCACCACCACCAACAACAAUAAAACCAAACAAACCAAACAACUAACCAAGACAGUGACUUAUAAAGAGAAUCUGAACAUUUUCCAGCAGGAAAGGCUCAGGAGCUGGCCAUUCAAGUCUGGGGAACAGAAUGUAGGGGAAUAUGAUGGUCUCCAGAAGCUACCUGCAAAGGAAUGAACAGCUUGCUGGGUUUUGUGGCUUCCCUUAUGGGAUGGGCGCUGUACUGGGCUUCUCUCUGAGUAGGAUGGGCCACCCUGUAGUUGGGAAUAUUUUGCUCCUACAGAAUUGUAAGUUCCCAGAGGCAGGACACAUCUGUCUUAUUCUUCAUUGUGUGUCUGAUGCUAGAAUGGUGCCUGGCAUACACGUGUGUGUCUCUAUAGAGACAGCACUCAUGUCUACGUAUCGAUAAAGGAAGCUGUUUUGGGGGGAGGAAACAGGCUUACAGACGAGAACUUAAUAACCCAGAGUAGCCCAGUCAGUACCUUGCCUUGGCUUCUGUUGUUUCUAAGCUCUGGGUAGAUAGCUACCUUGCCAUCUUCCCUGAUCUUAGAACUUUCCCCACUCCCCUGUAGGUGACAUCAUCCGGAAAAUCAUCCCCAACCAUGAGUUGGUCGGGGAGCUGGCAGGGCUCUAUCUGGAAAGCAUGAGCCCGAGCUCUCGAAACCCAGCCAGCAUGGAACCCACCAUGGCUAGUGCCGGCCCUGAAUGGGACCCUCAGAGUGGGAGCUGUCUCCAGGACGAUGGCCACUCAGGGACCUUUGGGAGUGUCCUGGUUGGAAAUCGCAUCCAGAUCCCUGACUCUCAGCCCCAGAGUCCUGGGCCACUGGGCUCCCUCUCUGGAGUGGGUAGUAGCGGAGGCCUCAGCAACAGGAAUGAAGACAACGCCCUGAAGCGGGAGCUGCCUCGGAGUGCCCAUGGGCUGAGCGGGAACUGGCUGGCGUACUGGCAGUACGAGAUCGGUGUGAGCCAGCAGGAUGCCCACUUCCACUUCCACCAGAUCCGCCUGCAGAGCUUCCCAGGGCACACGGGGGCCGUCAAAUGCGUGGCCGCCCUGAGCAGUGAAGACUUCUUUCUGAGUGGCAGCAAGGACCGGACUGUGCGCCUCUGGCCGCUGUACAACUAUGGGGACGGGACCAAUGAGACGGCUUCCCGCCUCAUCUAUGCCCAGCACCGCAAAAGCGUCUUCUACGUGGGCCAGCUUGAGGCCCCGCAGUAUGUGGUGAGCUGUGAUGGGGCAGUGCACGUCUGGGACCCCUUCACAGGUGAGCGGGCCCAGGAAAGACCCUUCGCACAGUGGAUCCUUCAGACAGCCGGGUGCCCCUGACGGCUGUGGCUGUCAUGCCUGCCCCACACACCAGCAUCACCAUGGCCAGCUCCGACUCCACUCUGCGCUUUGUGGACUGCAGGAAGCCAGGCUUGCAGCAUGAGUUCCGACUGGGUGGAGGGCUGAACCCUGGGCUUGUUCGCUCGUUGGCCGUCAGCCCCAGUGGCCGGAGUGUUGUGGCUGGCUUCUCCUCGGGCUUCAUGGUGCUCCUAGAUACCCGCACGGGCCUGGUUCUACGAGGCUGGCCAGCCCAUGAAGGGGACAUUCUACAGAUCAAGGCUGUAGAGGGCAGCGUGCUCAUCAGCUCCUCUUCCGACCAUUCCUUGACUGUUUGGAAGGAGCUGGAACAGAAGCCCACGCACCACUACAAGUCAGCGUCCGACCCAAUCCACACCUUUGACCUGUACGGCAGCGAGGUGGUCACCGGCACUGUAGCCAACAAGAUUGGUGUCUGUUCCCUGCUUGAGCCACCCUCUCAGGCCACCACAAAGCUCAGUUCCGAGAACUUCCGUGGCACGCUCACUAGUCUGGCUUUGCUGCCCACGAAACGCCACCUCCUGCUGGGCUCGGACAAUGGCAUCAUCCGCCUCCUGGCAUAGGGCCAGCCAGGAGUUGGCUGAGGGCAGGGCGAGAUGACAUCUCUCAGGGCCCGCUCCUCAUUCUUGAUCUCGAAGCCGAUUCUUCUAGGCAAGCCCCAGGCUCUGGCUACCCACAUGGCCUGCUGUCUGGGAUUGCACAGCUCCUGAAUCUCCAAAGCCUUGAAGUGGCUUCAUGAAACUCGGGAGAUACUGUUCCUAACCAGCAAGAAUUGGGGCAAGGAAAGCACUGUGAUCCCCAUUGCUCCCCAGUUCUGCCUUCUGGAUUCACAUGGGGACAGGGCAGCUCCAGGAAAUGAAAGGAGUUGGGCCUUUGCUCAGCCAGCUUCCUCUAGCCACGCUCUCCUUAGCUCUGUUUCUCCCUUGGGUAGGAAACUGCUCCUGUCUAGGGUUCUGAUGGUACUGGGACUCCAGGCUCAGGAGGGCUGGCCAGGACCUACGACUUUCAGGGCUUGGUCUGGGGUUUUAGCAUUCAUUCAGCCAGGUCUUCAGUAUGGGACCAGAAAAAAGGGGAUGUGAGAACAGGGCUAGGGAAGGGGUUAUAUGGGCCCAGCUGGUCCAGGAAUGAAUCCAUGCCUUGCCUUGGUACCCCUAACCACAGCGUUUGUGCCUUCAGCCGGGGAGGCAGCCCUUGGGACCAGCAUCCCUAGGGACAGGAGGCAGCGGGAAUCAUCUCUGUAUCUCGGGUUCUGCCCAGGGGAUGGGCAGACUCUGCCAUCUCUUGAGUGUUCGUUUGGAGAAGCCUGAGAUGUGGCCCCUGCUGCCUUCUCACUAGUUGCAGUCUAUGUAAAUAAGGUCAAUAAAUUCUUUGGAAGAGCCACGGAGCUGA